rnacentral:rRNA from 1 species
UACGUAGGGGGCGAGCGUUGUUCGGAUUUACUGGGCGUAAAGAGCGCGUAGGCGGCCGGAUAAGUCCGUUGUGAAAUCCCCCGGCUCAACCGGGGACCCGCCUCGGAAACUAUCCGGCUUGAGUCGCGGAGAGGAGAGCGGAAUUCCCAGUGUAGCGGUGAAAUGCGUAGAUAUUGGGAGGAACACCGGUGGCGAAGGCGGCUCUCUGGACGCGUACUGACGCUGAGGCGCGAAAGCUAGGGGAGCAAACGGG